rnacentral:misc_RNA from 1 species
GAUGAAGAACGUAGCGAAAUGCGAUACGUAGUGUGAAUUGCAGAAUUCAGUGAAUCAUCGAAUCUUUGAACGCACAUUGCGCCCCUUGGUAUCCCGAGGGGCAUGCCUGUUCGAGCGUCAUUUCACCACUCAAGCCUGGCUUGGUGUUGGGCGACGUCCUCUUUGGGGACGCGCCUCGAAACGCUCGGCGGCGUGGCACCGGCUUUAAGCGUAGCAGAAUCUUUCGCUUUGGAAGUCGGGGCCCCGUCUGCCGGAAGACCUGCUCGCAAGGUUGACCUCGGAUCAGGCAGGGAUACCCGCUGAACUUAAGCAUAUCAAUAAGCGGAGGA